rnacentral:rRNA from 1 species
UCGAGAAUUUUUCUCAAUGGGCGCAAGCCUGAAGGAGCGACGCCGCGUGGAGGAUGAAGGUCUUCGGAUCGUAAACUCCUGUCAUUUGGGAACAAACCUUCCAGUUAACUGCUGGAAGACUGAUAGUACCAGAAGAGGAAGGGACGGCUAACUCUGUGCCAGCAGCCGCGGUAAUACAGAGGUCUCAACCGUUGUUCGGAUUCAUUGGGCGUAAAGGGUGCGUAGGCGGUCGCGCAAGUCGGAUGUGAAAUCUCAGGGCUCAACCCUGAAACUGCAUUCGAUACUGCGUGGCUAGAGUGCUGGAGGGGAGACUGGAAUUUACGGUGUAGCAGUGAAAUGCGUAGAUAUCGUAAGGAAGACCAGUGGCGAAGGCGAGUCUCUGGACAGCAACUGACGCUGAGGCACGAAGGCCAGGGGAGCAAACGGG